UCUCUGAGUUUGAGACCAGUCUGGUCUAUAGAGCGAGUGCCAGGAUAGGCUCCAAAGCUACACAGAGAAACCCUGUCUCAAAAAACAAAAACAAAAGGUGUGUGUCACCAUUCAUAAUUGAAACUCCACUGACACAAUUAAAACUUUCAACUUUUUAGGGAUUUUUUCCCCCUGCUAUUUCCAGUGUUUACCACCAAUAAAACUGACAAUAGGUAAAAAUACAGCUUUAAUUAGAUUUUUUUUGGCUAGGCAUGGUGGCAAGUACGUUUAAUCCAACCACUUGGGGGCAGAGGCAGGUGGAUCUCUGAGAGAGUUUGAGGCCAGCCUGGUCUCCAGAGCGAGUGCCAGGACAGUUCUGUCUCAAAAAAGAAAAGGAUAGUUUAUAAAACUAUUUCUAGCAUUUAGACAUGUGCUUCAAUUGUCACACAAAAUCAAAAGGAAAUAUUCAAGCUUCAUGUCUCACUAUGCAGCCCUGGUUGACCCAAAACUCGCUAUACAGACUCACAGAGUCCGCUUCAGUCUGUGAAGACGUGCUCACUACAUUCUCCUUUCCCUUUUUGCUUGGUCGCACUCCCUUUAACUUUCCUUGUCAUUUUCUGAAUGAUUCUAGUAACAAUAAGAAUGCUAACAAAUAACCGUCUGCUGUCAACAUCCUGUGAGGCUGUGGAAUGGCAUCUCACCUCAUGAAUUACUCACACAAUUCAGUCUGCAUAGUUAGAACUACUUCCUUCAGAGAGCCCAACAUUGACUGCCUUGGGUCAUUAAAUGUGAGCCCCAUGUCUCAGAAUAUUCUUCCAGUGUUGUCGGCAUAGUAUACACUGAAGGGCACUGCUGUCUGCCCAAUCACAGACGCUAUUCCGAGAGACAACCACCAAGACCCAGUCUCACACCAGUCACAUUUCAUCUCAGCUGCCAUAAGUUGAAGGGAAAUAAAACAAAACCUACAAAUGGAAAUAGGGCUAAUUGAAUAAAUUAUGUAUUACAAUUUUCCAAUAGGACUUAGCCAUGACCUUUGAUCUGGUCUACAUCAUUCUUUAGAUAUAGACACCUUAGUAACUGUCAUUCAAACACAAGCCCUCAUUUGUUAAUUGGCCAGCACCAGCCAGUGUUUGUGUGAUGAAAUUUCAGCUCCCUGUUGGUGUAUUUGGUGUUGCAAACGUUUCCAGGCCUCUAGCAGUACCACCUGCAUCGGGUGACUUUCUAUCUGUUACCAUUUGCCAAAGGUGUCGGUUUUUUUAGAGUGGUGGGGGUAUGUUGGCACACAGGCAGGCAUGACGCUGGAGAAGUAGCUGAGAACUUUAUACCACAAUCCUCAGAGAGAGACACUCUGGGUCUGGUUUGGGCUUUUGAAACAAAGCCUUCCCCUCAUGACUAAGCUCCUAAUCCUUCCUGGACAGCCCAGAUGGGGACUGAUGUGAGCCUGUGGGGACAGUGUCUCGACCACAGUCGGCUAUGUAGGAGUUGAGUGGAGCUGCUGUGUUUUUGUCUGCCUCUUUCUCUGGAGAAUGACGGUUGCUGUGCUUGCUCUGCCCUUACAGAGCCCCGAGGGUUGGAGUCUUACUGCUUGAAGUUCCAUCAGCACUUACAGGCUGGGCUCUCCCAUGCAGGCAGGCACCAUCUGAGCAGCAGUGUCUUCCCUAGCCUUUUGUCCUCCACUCCUCAGAUGACACCAUCUCUUUUGCUGGAGCAGGUGGGCUCUUAUCUGACGGCCCCUUCCUUCACCAUGCUUCUCCUUCUGUUAGUUAUGGCCCGUCAGUAAUGCUCUGUGACUCGGGCACACAUCCACUGCCCCUUACUACAAAACUAUAGCCAUGUGUCCUCCUUUAGUCUUACCCUGUCCUUCAGACCUCACAGUCCCCUUCACAGUAAACUAGGCGGAUAUUUUGUCUGUUAGACAGUCCUGUUCUCAACUCCUAAUAGACCAGGUGCAGCCCUGUCAUGAGUGGUUAUUUUCAUUCUGACCAUGCUUCUAAAGAAUCAAGCCUUGGCUUCCCACUACUUAGCCUGCAAAUAUUCAAAUCUUAGCAGCCGAUGCCUUUGCACUCACUCCCUGUGGACCAACCUGUUAACAUCCCUUUAUUAAUGAGAUUAUUUUUCUUACAGUCCAGGUUUCUACUGUUUUUUUUUUAACUUUUUCUCUCUGUUUUUCUUUUUUGAGCAGUGUCUCAUGUAUUCACAUAUACAUGCCCGGCUGGCCUUCAGCUCAAAAGAUGACACUAAAAUUUCUGAUCCUCCCGCCUGUGCCUGAGUCCCAGGGUUGCAGGUACUGGGAUUCAUGGCGUACACCACCACCAUCACUUGGCUCUUUCUGAAUAUUUUAUCCUAGACCUUGUGACUGAAUUUCUCUGGUCUUUUGUGGGGUAGUGCUCCAGACCUGGUGCAGGAACUGGUUACUGUCCUGCCCUCAGCCUCCUGGUGCUUUGCCUCCCCAUUUCCUCACGCUAUGCCGGGGAAGGAAAGCAUCAGUGAACCUCCACCAUGGUGCCCUAGCUUUUCUAUGAGUUGUUGCUGCCUGGAACUCCCCAGACUUGCAGUCCAGAGUCUGCCAGGAGAUUAUCAAGACUUCCUCUUCAGGGACAACUGCCCUUGUUGCCCAUUUGCCCACUGUCAAAUGUUUCGUGUUUGAAUUAGGCAAAUAGUUCCCUGAUGGCUAAGGUUGUUUAAAAAUAAAGGCUGCUUGUUUCUUCCCUAAA